rnacentral:lncRNA from 1 species
CUUAGUUAAAAUAGAUAGUUAGGAUGUGACAUAAGCAGAUUGUUGUAUUUUCUUAUAUUUACCUUUAUGAUUGUUAAUUUUGGAUACUUUUCACUGUUAAGUUUUAAUCCUCUUUUAGACUAAAAGGGGAAUUGUAGGAGAAGCUGUAACAUCACCUAUUUAGGGGCUGGCUACAGGUGUGCCUGACCACUCUUGCGAGGGCAUGGUCAGGGUAAUAUAGAGUGAGACUUCCAGGGGACUGUGUUUUCUCUUUCAGUUUCACUUCUGUACUUGCCUUACAUACUGCUGCCAUGCCGGCUGGCUAGGUUGCUCUAGACUGGUUCCAGCCCAAGAUGGAUAUGGUUUUCCAUGCCUUCAAGGAAUCCUAAGAGAGAACACGCCUGACAGAAUGUGUGAUUCCAUGACGGGUACCCCUGUUUAAGAACACAACGACAAGCAAGCCUCACCCCAGGGCAAGAGAGAAGAGGUGAUUGAUUCAGGGAGUCAACUGGGAGUCGCA